rnacentral:rRNA from 1 species
GAUGAACGCUAGCGGCAGGCUUGAUACAUGCAAGUCGAGGGGCAGCAUGACUGUAGCAAUACAGUUGAUGGCGACCGGCAAACGGGUGCGGAACACGUACAGAACCUUCCUUCGAGCGGGGAAUAGCCCAGAGAAAUUUGGAUUAAUACCCCAUAGUACAACGGAGUGGCAUCACUUUGUUGGUAAAGAUUUAUCACUUGAAGAUGGCUGUGCGGCUGAUUAGGUAGUUGGCGGGGUAACGGCCCACCAAGCCUGCGAUCAGUAACUGGUGUGAGAGCACGACCAGUCACACGGGCACUGAGACACGGGCCCGACUCCUACGGGAGGCAGCAGUAAGGAAUAUUGGUCAAUGGACGAAAGUCUGAACCAGCCAUGCCGCGUGGAGGAUGAAGGUCCUCUGGAUUGUAAACUUCUUUUAUAUGGGACGAAAAAAGGGUUUUCUAACUCGUCUGACGGUACCAUAUGAAUAAGCACCGGCUAACUCCGUGCCAGCAGCCGCCGCUGUAA